rnacentral:rRNA from 1 species
UACGUAGGGUGCGAGCGUUGUCCGGAAUUAUUGGGCGUAAAGAGCUCGUAGGCGGUUUGUUGCGUCUAUCGUGAAAACCUGCAGCUUAACUGUGGGCUUGCGGUGGAUACGGGCAGACUUGAGUUCGGUAGGGGAGACUGGAAUUCCUGGUGUAGCGGUGAAAUGCGCAGAUAUCAGGAGGAACACCGGUGCGAAGGCGGGUCUCUGGGCCGAUACUGACGCUGAGGAGCGAAAGCGUGGGGAGCGAACAGG